rnacentral:lncRNA from 1 species
AAAGAAUCAUCUAACAACCCACUAAAUAUUUGUUACCUCUUAUCAGCGCGCGUAUGCGUAAGAUAAUUCUGUCUACAAAAACUUUCACAAGUGAGAAAAGAAAAUCAUCUAAUGGUUUUUCGCAUCUGCUGAAAUUUGAGAAACCUUCUAUCCUUAUACGUUUCAAAAUCUUUCGGACUAUCAUUGUGAAGGAGGAGAAAGUUCAUGAAACUUAUCUCCAGCUCUCAGGUAUCCUUUUAAGUUCUUUAUUUCCCAUCUUUUUAAAAGCUAAAUUAGUAUUUUUUGAAUUCUUUAUAUAAAUUCCUGGCUCCAUUACACAUGGGUGGAUCCACUGAAAGCGGACAAAAUUUAUCUAGGUUAACUGUUAAAUGCUGGUAAGUUGGUAAAAUUUAUCAUAUAUGGUGUUGAAAUUCUUUAAAACUAGGUUAACUGGUUAAAUGCUUAUUCCUGCCGCCCGCAGUUAUAAACUAGAUAAAUGUGUCAUGUGUGGUAGAUUUUUUGAAAGUUUUUUUUUGUGUGCAACAAUAACAAUAAUCACCCAGUGUAUUCCCACAAGUGGGAUCUGGAAAGGGUAGGAUGUACGCAACCUUACCCCUAUCCCAGAAGGGUAGAGAAACUGUUUCUGAUAGACCCUCGGUUAGAGAAAAGAUAGAAAAAAUACUGAUAGCAAGUAAUAACAAUAUAGGAUAAUUAGAAAACUAAAUCCAAGACAACAAAGAGAAGAUGAAAAAAGUACUGAUAAUAAGUAAUAAUAGUGCAAAAUAUGUAGUGAUAGCAAACUAAGAGAGUACUGAUGGCAAGUAAUAACAUUACAAGAUAUGUGGUACUAGCAAACUAAGGAUAAAAGUGAUACCAUACUAACAAUAAUACUACUUCACUAUGGAAGACAAUGAGAAACACUCGACUACCUACUAACCUUCUACCCUAAUUCUCAACCUUCAUACCCUCCUAUCACGAGUCAUGUCCUCAGUUAGCUCAAGCUACACCAUGUCCCACCUGAUCACCUCUCCCCAAGACUUCUUUGGCCUACCUCUACCCUUCCUCUUACCCCCAAAGUCCAACCUCUCACACCUCCUGACUAGGACAUCUGCGCUUCUUCUUUUAACAUGCCGAACCAUCUCAGCCUCGCCUCUCGCAUCUUUUCCUCCACAGUGGCCACUCCCAUCUUGUCUCGAAUAACUUCAUUCCUAAUUUUAUCUAACCUAGUAUGCCCACACAUCUAUAUCAACAUCCUCAUUUCAACUACUUUUAUCUGUUGGACAUGAGAUUUCUUGACUGGCCAACACUCUGCCCCAUACAACAUAGCCGGUCUAACCACUACCUUGUAGAACUUACCUUUAUGUUUCAACAGUACAUUCUUAUCGCACAAGAUACCGGAAGCGAGUCUCCACUUCAUCCACCCUGCUCCGAUGCGAUGUGUGACAUUCUCGUCAAUCUCCUCAUCAGUCUGAAUCAUGGACUUAAAGUUGUCCCUCCUAGGAAUGACUUGCGUAUCAAGCCUCACAUCCCCGUCCGCUUCCUGGGUAACACCCCUGAACUUAUCCUGUGUGCAAAAUCCAAGUUUAAAUUUAUCUUGAAGCUUGUGUGACCUUUUUUUUUUGUAUUUUAUUUCCUUUUGUUCCAAUCAUUUUCCUUUUUGGCUACUCCCAAUUUUCUAUUUGUUAUUUUAUUAUUUUUAUAUUUUUCUUUCCUGUAUUCUAUUAUUUUUUGUGGUCUCUAGCAAGAACACUUAAAAAAGAGGCUCCAAACUUUAAAAUUCUAUAAAAUAAACAUUCCUUUUAAUUUCAAAUCUGUAAGUUUUCUUCUUUCAAAGGCCUCAUGAGAAUUUUGUAUUGAUAUCAAAUUCCAUUUUCAUAAUUUCUUUUUUUUAUUAUAUCAUAAAACUCUAUGCUAUUUUGUGGUUGUUAAGUCAAUUUAAAUUUCUUUAUUAUUAAAUUAUGAUGAAAAUUUCAUAAGCAUCGCUUAAAAAAACAUGAGACUUAUGAUUUUGAUUUAUAUCCUAGUAGGUGUCUUGAUCUGGCCUCGUCACUACUCUACCGAGGUUAGGUUGGAUAUUUACUGGGUACCGUUGUGGUGUACUUAUACUGCGCUUCUGCAUAAUUUUUGUGCAGAUCCAGGUACGUCUGCUCAUGUCGGUCGUUAGAUAUCAUUUGUAGCUGUCUUACGGAGACUUCAAGGUAUGUCUGCUCGGCAUCCACAGGCCUUGAAGUCACCUUCUUUUAUUUUUUACUACCGUUGUAUUUCUUUUCAGUCAGACAGUGAUGUACUAGACACUUUAGCUUACUCUUAGAGCUUACGACUUGGUUCCACCGGUUUUGGGAAUGUAUUUGUUGAGACUCUAUUUCAGAAGUUUAUAUCAGUUACUCAGCCUUAUUUUAGUAGUUUUGUUGAUUAUUCCUAUUAAGUUGUUAUUAACUGGUAGGCUUACCUAGAAAUCAAUUUAAAUCACUUUACUAAUAAAUUAUGAUGAAAAUUUCUUAAGCAUCGCUUUGAAAAAACAUGAGAUUUAUGAUUUUGAUUUGU